GUUAAACUGCUCCAGGGAGCACGAGAGACCCCGAGCAAGCAAACAGGGGUGUGGCACAGCAGUUCGCUCAGGCAGGGCACGACCACACUUCAGCUCUCUCUCUGGUGGCUUGUGAGAUCAAGUCUUUUUCAAAGCAUCUUAAGAAAAGAAAUAAGGCCCCUCUCUGGAUGCUCUAAGUCCCUGCAGCACAAGAAGUGACACCAGAUGCCACAGGAAGACACAGACAGCUUGGAGCACCUGGGAAGAAAGACCUGGCAGCUGGAAGAAAGGGCACAAAAGCUGUCACUAGCUAGUUACUUCAGGAUGCCAUGGAGUAACCUGUGGUUACUUGUGUCACUCUCUUGAUCACAGCCAGCAAAAGGCAGAGCUGAAUGCAGCUUGGGGCUAGAAUUCAGCAUAAGGAAGGAGAUAAUGUGGAGGCAGAAACAGCUGAGUAGGGAUGAGAAGGGACAAUACAAUCUCUUUUAGCUGCUC